rnacentral:rRNA from 1 species
GAGUUUGAUCCUGGCUCAGGAUCAACGCUGGCGGCGUGCCUAACACAUGCAAGUCGAACGCGAAAGUGGAGCAAUCCAUGAGUAGAGUGGCAAACGGGUGAGUAACACGUGGGUGACCUGCCUUCGAGCGGGGGAUAACGUCCCGAAAGGGACGCUAAUACCGCAUAACAUCCUGCCUUUUAAGAGGUGGAGAUCAAAGCCGGGGAUCGCAAGACCUGGCACUUGAAGAGGGGCCCGCGCCUGAUUAGCUAGUUGGUGGGGUAAUGGCUCACCAAGGCAACGAUCAGUAUCCGGCCUGAGAGGGCGGACGGACACACUGGGACUGAGACACGGCCCAGACUCCUACGGGAGGCAGCAGUGGGGAAUUGUUCGCAAUGGGCGCAAGCCUGACGACGCAAC